UUUUAGUAAUUCAAUUUAAAGUAGUGUUUCCUUACUUUGAUUUUCUAUACAUCACUGUUGAGAAAUUAAGUCACAUUUUCCCUUUUUAUCUACUGCUUACAAUAUCAUGACACCAUAGUCUGCUCAGUAGAGUCUACUGCACUGUGCCAUAACCCAUAACGCUAUACACACCCAUACUAUUAAUUUAAGCAGGAUUUUACUAUACUUCUUUUUCAUCCACCCCCUUAUAGUCAACCUGAACACCCUUAUUUUAGUGCUCCAAAUUGUUAUCCUUCAAAUCUCCCUUUCUUUAGGUACUAAGGUACUACAUCUCCCUCUUCUCCAAUAAUAUUCCAUAUUUUCAAUCAAGCAUGUACACACUUCUUUUCUCACUCUCUGGAUUUCAAAUGUACUUCGAUCUAUUUAGCUACAUUUCAGCUCUUCCCUAACAUAUUGUCACGUCUACAGUAUGACCCAACAUGCAAAACUAUGAUAACUCAAUAACAACGUAUACCCGGCCUUAGAAUGGCUGGACUUAACAUUAAAGAGAAAGAUCAAUAAACAAGCCAAUGUCAGGGAUACAGAAUAGGACAAUACGAAAAAAUUGUAGCCAAAGAUCAGGAUACCAGAAGUAGGGAAAGUCAAAAUACAAGCCAAUGUCAAAAAACAAAAAUUAUUAACAAGAACGCCCUCUCUGACAACAAGUGGAAACCUCGACAGGACACUGAGAAAAGACAUUACAGGGUUUAAAUAUGCCUCUUGGUGCUGUGGUCGAUCAGUAUGUGGCCUUUGUCCCCAAAACAUGCAUGUGCGCCGACAGCGUGGGUACUGUGUAUUUUUCUAUUAAGAACGGGAACGCUGCACCAGCCGGGACCCGUCUCACUGGUGUAACAAUAUCUUACCUUUCUCCUCCAGACCCGCACGGCAUGGCUUCCUCUUCCAACACUUCCGGGAGGCGGCGUAGUCUGACGCCAGCUGGUGCAAACACGCCACUUCUUAUGACGUGACGCAUGAACGUCAACGUCAUGACAAUAUGUUUCCAAACAUUCAAUUGAUUCCACGCCCCCUGACAUUUUGGGGUCGUGGAAUUAAAGCUACAAGCAUUACACUAUAAAAGGACGCCUUUUACGCUUAUCCAGCGCCCUAUUGUGGUUCUUUCUUGGUUCCCUCUAGUGCUAUAUAGUUUCUCUAUUGUUAUUCUGGUAUUUUGACUUCUGGCUUACGCUUUUUGACUAUUCUUCUCUCUGGUAUCCUGACUUCAACUUGUUUAUUUGUGUGUCCACUUUCUGGUAUCCCCUGACUCUUGACUAUUUCUUUGACUAUUCUAUAGCGUUAAACCUGGCCACACUAAGGUCCGGUAAUAUGCUUCCUUAUAGAUUGCACUCUGCGUGUUUGGGUCACUGUCGUGACAUUACAAUAGGGCCAUGGACCCUGCAAGUGCUAAUCUACAUGGGCCGGUUCAUGAUAACCGAUUUGAGGAAUUGGACCACCGUAUGGACCAGUUUGCCAUGGCUGUGCAAACAUUGUUGGCCCGUACUGCUCAUCUACAACCACAUGAGCAAAUACUGGUCCCUAUACCUAACGUCCAGAACAUGGAGAUAGACGCAGUGGGUUCAACAAACCACGCUACAUCUCCUCUGCAUUAUGGGGGUGAUCCCAAGGGAUGUAGUGGUUUUUUAAACCAAGUUAGCAUUAACUUUGAACUCCAUCCCCGAGCAUAUCCGACAGACAAGUCUAAAAUCGGAUAUAUAAUAACCGUCUUGGUCAAUAGGGCUUUAGUUUGGGCUAUCCCCUUAUGGGAGAACAACAAUUUAUCGUUGCCUUUAGGAGAACGUUUGACCCCCCUGGGAGAUGAACUAAUGCCGCUAAGACCCUUUUGCGCAUGAGGCAUACUUAUGCUGCUGAGGUGAAAUGGAAUGAACAGGCAUUUAUAGAUGUGUUCAUGAAUGGGCUCUCUGAAAAAAUACUGGAUGAGGUAGCUACUAGGGAUUUACCCAAUGCUUUAGAGGAUUUGAUAACUUACCUAGCCCACAUCGACGAACGCCCAAGACAUAGGCAAAACACUAGGGACAGGCCAAGACAUAUUCUGAAACGUUUGGCUUUAACCUUUCUUUCCUCUGAAGCAGCCACUGUCACUCCUUCUGAACCUAUGCAACUAGUUGCUACUCGGCUGUCUGAUGCUGAAAAGCAAUAUCGAAGAAGGGAGGGACUUUGCUUGUAUUGUGGGAAGAAGGGCCAUUCACAUCUAGCCUGCCCCAGUAGGCUGGAAGACUCCAACACCUAAGCCCUCCAGGAGUACAGGACUUGGGUGUAAUGUGUAUGUCUUCUAAGACUUCUACUACCCGUUAUUCUGGAAUGGGAAUUUCAUAGAUAUGAAUAUCGGUCAGAAACAUUCUCUCCCAUUUCAAGCAAGAUCCACACCCUGUCCGUUCCUUUUAUUACUAGAGCGACAAGGAAACGAUAAUCAUACAGCAGAUAACCUCUCCUACCUUCUCUGUCAUUCUUGGUUUUCCCUGGCUUUCCAAGCAUAGUCCUAUGAUAGAUUAGGAGAGGAAAGAAAUUAUUAGAUGGGGUGUUUCAUGUUUCGAAGGGUUUGCUUAAUGUUCCUACUAUGAUACCUUUAACGACUCUAGUACCAGAGGCAUAUCUUGAUCUUAAGGCAGUCUUUGAACAGAAGGAGGCUGAAAAACUACCGCCUCAUCGUUUAUAUGACUGCACUAUCAACCUACUACCUGGUACUAUGCCUCCUAGGGGUACUGUGUAUCCUCUCACAGUUAAUGAAAAUAAGGUACUAGAAGAAUAUAUUACAGAGAAUCUAAGAAAAGGUUUCAUAACCAAGUCCUCUUCACCUGCUGGGGCAGGUUUCUUUUUUGUCUCAAAGAAAGAGGGGGAUUUACGACCAUGUAUCGACUACUGGGAUUUGAAUAAAAUAUCCAUACGUAAUGCCUACCCAAUACCUUUAAUAACAGAACUAUUUGACAGGUUUAAGGGAGCAUCUAUAUUUACUAAACUAGAUUUAAGAGGGGCAUAUAAUCCAGUUAGAAUUAAACACAGGGAUGAAUGGAAAACAGCCUUCACUACUCAUCAUGGCCACUACAAGUAUAGGGUAAUGCCCUUCGGCUUAUGUAAUGCCCCAGCAGUCUUUCAACAUUUCAUGAAUGAUGUGUUAAGAGAUAACCUACAAGAGUUUGUAAUUGUUUAUUUAGAUGAUAUCUUGAUCUAUUCUAAGAACAUCAAGGAACAUCAUGUCAGACAGGUCAUAUCUAAACUAUUAGAGAAUGGAUUUUAUUGUAAAUUGGAAAAAUGUAUUUUCGACAAAGACAAGAUACACUUUUUGGGGUACAUAAUAUCGGGUUCUGGUUUUCAGAUGGAACCUGAGAAACUUGAGGCCAUCUUACAUUGGCCCUUACCUAUUGGUCUAAAAGCGAUACAACGUUUUUUUAGGCUUCGCCAACUAUUAUAGGAAAUUUAUCAAAGGAUUUUCCUCUAUUACUGCUCCUAUCAUGUCCAGAAGCAGUUCGGAGUCCAGAAGCUAGGGCUGCUUUUGAGGCAUUAAAGAAAGCCUUUUCAUCAACACCCAUAUUAAGACAUCCCGAUCCCUCUCGUUCUUUCCUACUAGAGGUGGAUGCAUCCGAGACUGGUAUAGGGGCGGUAUUAUCCCAAAAACCCUCAGAUGAUCUACCUUUACAUCCUUGCGGUUCUUAUUCAAAAAAAUUGACAGAGACUGAAAAAAGGUAUGACAUUGGGGACAGGGAAUUGUUGGCAAUCAUUUCGGCCCUCAAGGAGUGGCGAGGGGUCUGUUAUACCUAUUACCAUACUUACCGAUCAUAAGAACCUUCCCUAUUUCGGGGAAGCUAAAAGAAUGACAGAUAGACAGACAGGUCCAUUGGUCCUUGUUAUUAACAUGUUUUAAUUACAUAGUGACAUAUAGACCUGGAUCAAGGAAUACUAAGGCUGAUGCCUUGUCCCAACAAUAUGAACCACAAUCCUCUACCGAGACCCAAAUAUCAUCCAUAAUACCAGCCGAACGCAUUAUAGCCACCAUCCAAGCUAACGUCUCCUCUGGCUUACUGGAGAAAUUAUCCAAACUCCAGCAUCACUCUUCUUUACCCAUUCCCCGGGGGAAAUUAUAUGUACCUCUUGUUCAUAGGGAAAAAGUCUUGUCCUUGAUGCACAAUUCCAAAAUAGCCAGUCAUCCCGGUAUCCAUAAAACUGAAUCCCUCCUUGAAAAGAAAUUUUGGUGGCCUUCCUACAAGAAGGAUGUCAGAGAAUUUGUUCUUACCUGUAAUAUCUGUUCAUCUACCAAAAUACUUAAAAGACAUCCUUGUGGCCUUCUCAUGCCGUUACCCAUUCCUGAUAAACCUUGGUCUAGUAUUGCCAUGGAUUUUAUAGUUGAAAAAUGGCGCAUCUUGUUCCCUUGGUCAAACUGCCGUCUUGCUCUGAAUUGGCCACUCUGUUUAUAAGGGAGGUUGUUCGCUUACAUACCGAAUGAUAUAACUUCUGAUAGGGGUCCACAAUGUAUUUCUCGGUUUUGGAAGGCAUUCUUUAACCAAUUGGGCAUUUACCUUAAUAUUUCUUCUUCAUAUCAUCCUCAGUCCAAUGGCGUUACUGAAAGGAUGAAUCAAUCACUCGAGCAGUAUAUUCGUUGCUUUACUUCCGAUCAUCAAGACGAUUGGGUGGAAUUACUCCCUUGGGCUGAAUUUGCCCAUUACAUUCAGGUUCACGAAUCUACGCAACACAGUCCUUUUUUUUUAUCAAUUAUGGCUUGACCCUACUACUCUUCUGAGUUCCCUUUCUUCUACUGGAGUGCAGAGUGUAAACAGCACUAUGAAAAGUAUUAAGGAAAUUUGGUCAGGGGUUAAACAAAUAUUGGUUCAAAGGUCCAAGACACAAAAGUGUACUGCAGAUAGAUCUCAUAGAGCUGCUCCUACUUAUGUUGUGGGUGACAAGGUGUGGUUAAGUACACGUAAUAUUAAACUGAAAGUACCCUCGAUGAAGUUUGCUCUACGUUAUAUUCGUCCUUUCAAAAUACUUAAUUGCAUUAACCCAGUCUGUUACAGGUUGCUCUUGCCCGCCUCUAUGAAAAUACCGAACGCCUUCCAUGUUUCUCUCCUUAAACCUUUGGUAUGUAAUUGUUAUAUCAAAAAACAUUCCUUCAAUACUCGUGGAGGGUCAAAACAAAUAGGAAGUCAGGUAGGGGUAAACUCCAAUAUCUGAUUGAUUGGAAAGGGUAUGGUCCCGAGGAGAGGUCAUGGGUUGAUGCCUCUGAUGUUUAUGCCCCUCAUUUACUUUGUUGGUUUCGCAAACGCUGUUCUCGUGGGUCUGGUUCUCCCUGCCCAGUGGGCGGUUCUCGAGGGGGAGGGAACGAUAUCUUACCUUUCUCCUCCAGACCCACGCGGCAUGGCUUCUUCUUCCGACACUUCCGGGAAGCGGCGUAGCCUGUCUGACUCCGGCCGCUCCAAACACGCCUCUUCUUAUGAUGCGACGCAUGAGCGUGAAAUUCAUGACAAUACUGCCGCUAAAAAUUCAAAUGAUUCCACACUCCCUGACAUUUUGGGGGCAUGGAAUUAAUGCUACAAGCACUACACUAUAAAAGGGCACCUUUUACACUUGUUCAGUGCCCUAUUGUGGUUCUUUCUUGGUUCCCUCUAGUGCUAUAUAGUUUCUCUAUUGUUAUUCUGGUAUUUUGACUUCUGGCUUACCCUUUUUGACUAUUCUUCUCUCUGGUAUCCUGACUUUGGCUUGUUUAUUCGUGUCUCCACUUUCGGGUAUCCCCUGACUCUUGACUAUUUCUUUGACUAUUCUAUAGCAUUAAACCCGGCCACACUAAGGUCCGGUAAUACGCUUCCUUAUAGAUUGCACUCUGCAUGUUUGGGUCACUGUCGUGACAACUGGAGGAUUGGGAUUGCACCAAUGAUUGCACCAAGUCAAUUAAACUCACCUGGUUCAGUCUCCUUACUGCAACUCUGGUCCUCCUGUGAAGUCAUCAUUAUGGAUUGUCACAAAUACUCCAAGCAUGCUAGUGACUUGGUUCUGGGGGCUAAAAAGGAUAAAAUUCACUAUUUGUCUGCCUAGACCAAAAAUACUGAUUAAAAUAAUCACUUAACACCAACCACACUUAACUUUAGUAUCAAAAGCUGCCAUCACCACGUUAAUGUAUAAUAAAAGGAGCCUUGGUUCACACAAGAACUUAAUAUUGGAAUAUUUAUUAUGAAAUAGUCAAAGUGCAAACAACAGAAACAUAGAUGGUAAACAAAUAAUUUACAACAACAACAGAUACAAAUAUCUGUUCACACCUGGCAGAAGGAUAAUUGUGGGCUGAGUAAGAAUUCAUAUUGUAAACCUUUUUCUGUGAUCUAAAAUUUAGCACAUUCAUAUACAACUAAAUUAACCCUUCUCAUACUGAAUUCAGUCACACUACUACUACUGGGUGACCAAUGUGUGUAUACAUUAAAAAACAAAUAUAGAUGUAUUGGAGUGUAUGCAUAGGGGCAAUUGCACUUUAGGUGCUGCUUUUGUUUGCACAUUUAUUGGCACAGUUUAUAGGAAAACCUUUUUAGACAUUAUUGUUGCCCCACUUUUUACUUGUUGUUGUAUGUGUAUUAUGUAUACAUUACACAGAUUAUAUUUAAAAGCUAUAUUUCUAUAGUGCAGCAAUGAAUUGUACCUGCUGGACAUGACACGGAAAACACGUGCCCACGGAAAUGUUUCCCAUAGGUAAGCACUGAGACACACCAGCAAUGCUUUCCUGUGAGACACUUCCACUUUGAAAUAUAGAUCAAAAUAAGGAAGAAAGUCAUGCUGACUCAAGAUGCUAGAGGGAUUAAUAAAAAUGUAAAUUUCUAUUAAAAUUAACACUUUUAUAGAAUAAACCUGCAGGGAAGAGUAUUAGAGUACUUUAAUCUCCCUUUAACAAGUAAAAAAAAAUCCCUUCACCACAAUGUAUGCAGAGUAUUAAAUACCAUGAGUAAGUACACAAUGCAUUUAGUGCAAAUUACACUUGAUCUCAGGCAUACCGCUUGCGAAGGGUCUUACUAUGUUUUUAGUUAGAAAUGUGAACUAUGCUAGGAAACCUCAAACAAAAUUAAAACAAACACGAAAACCAACACAUGAAUAAACUAAUAACUAGAAUUACUCGAAUAUAUCAAAACAAAAAACCGCUUACAAAUGCAAUAUGUUUAGUCUUCCAGAUAAAAAGGACACUAUAGUCACCAAAACAAAUUUAGCAUAAUGAAGAGGUUUUGGAGUAUAGAUCAUGCCCCUGCAGUCUCACUACUCAAUUCUCAGUCAUUUAGGACUUAAAUCACUUUCUUAAUGCAGCCCAAGGCCCACCUCCCUGCAUGUGAGUUACACAGCCUUCCUAAAAACUUCCUGUAAUUUGUUAUCUAAUGUUUACACAUCCUUUAUUGCAAAUUCUGUUUAAUUUAUAUAUAUUUAUGUCAUAUCUCCUGCUCUGUUAAUAGCUUGCUAUACCAUGCAGGAGCCUCCUGUAUGUGAUUCAGGUUCAAUUUACAAAGCAGGAAUUAACAUUUUUUAAAGUAAGUUACAUCUGAUGAAAAUGAAACCAUUUUGUGUCAGUCACAGCUAGGGGAGGUCUGGCUAGUACUAAAAGGACAGAAACAAAAGUGAUUUACGUCCUACAUGGCAGAUAAUUGAGCAGUGAAACUUCAGAGGCAUACACCAAAAUUGCCUCUUUAAGGUACAAUUGUUUAGGUGACUAUAGUAUUUCUUUAAGUAUAUAAUGUGUAAUUAAUAAGUUCUAAACAAUGUGCUUGCACUCCUCUUGCAUAACACAUUUCAAAUUUAAACAAUAUAAUAUUUUAUAAUCUCAAUUAUGAGUCAAUGAUGAGGAAUGCUUUUUCAAGCACCAGAAACCACGAGUCACUGAUAUAACGCCUGCAAGUUUGCCGAAAAUGUGUGCUCCACCCUUCUUAAAACAGUGUAGCAAGUUUGAAUGUGAAGUUUCAAUGAUUGCUAUAGCAGUUUUAAAUACCUUUAUUUUAGAAAUACAUGAUUUAAGUGUAUGUACUUUAUGUGUGCAUGUCACAUACUGUUUGGUAUUUGACCAUUUUUAUUUAUUUUUGUCACAUCUACUGUAUGUAAAACUUGCAUUUUGAGGGGGAGGGGGGCGGGGCCUGACUGCCAUAAGCUGUUAAAUCUGCCAAAAGCUGUUUAAGAUCUCCUCACACAUGCUGUGCACUCUCGAGAACCCCUGUGGCUACCCACCUGCGGCAAUAUCGCUGGCGGCUAAAGGCUCCAUGACGGGACAGGGUUGUGGCCUACAGGCGACUGGGGGGGGGGAGAGGCGGCCGCUCUCCUCGAUUGAUUACUUGGACCCAUCCUGCUCCUACCUCCCCCACUCUGGUUCGGUGGGAGUUAUCACGGUCCACACACGAGUGGUGACCCACUCAUCUUUGCAGCAUCUGGCGGUUCCUGUGGAGCUGACUCCCUGUGACUGGCGGGCUAGGGUGGCUGCUGAGGAGAUACCCACAGCUCUCCAAAUGCCCACUACUUGGGCCUGACAUGCAGAGCACCUGUAUAGAAUAUUUGAGCUCUUGUGGUCGCAAUUUUGGCUUAGAAUUGAACGCCGAAGGAUGAGAGCUGAGACAGCAGCUGCAGUAAAGCCUGGUCACCUAAGGAGCAAUACCAAGCUUAACCCCUUAAGGACACAUGACGUGUGACAUGUCAUGAUUCCCUUUUAUUCCAGAAGUUUGGUCCUUAAGGGGUUAAAGGACCACUAUAGGCACCCAGGCCACUUCAGCUUAAUGAAGUGAUCUGGGUGCCAGGUCCAUCUAAGAUUAACCCUGCCUGCUUUAAACAUAGCAGUAUCAGAGAAACUGCUAUGUUUACAUAUGGGUUAAUCCAGCCUCUAGUGGCUGUCUCAUUGACAGCUGCUAGAGGCGCUUCGGCGCUUCUCACUGUGAUUUUCACAAUGAGAAGAUGCCAGCGUCCAUAGGAAAGCAUUGAGAAUGCUUUCCUAUGGACUGGCUAAAUGCGCGCACGGCUCUUGCCGCACAUGCGCAUUCAGCCGAUGACAACCGAAGGAGGAGGAGAGUCCCCAGCACCGAGGGAGCCCGGCACUUGAGAAAGGUGAGUGUUUAAACCCCUUCCUCCCCAUUCAGACCGGUGGGAGUGGGACCCGAGUUUGUUUUCCUGGCACUAUUGUGGUCCUUUAAGCCCGCUGGGCAAAACUCUGCAACAGUGCUGACAGGGAAGAAGCGAGGAAGGCUUAUUAGAACUGCCAACACGUUCCUACUGUGAACCAUUACAAUCGGCACAUAAAACACCCUUGGAGGGAUCAUAUUCAUCAUGAGAAAAUGCAAUAUAGAUGAGGACCACUACCCCAGGUGACUCUACAAGCUAAACCAUGUGUUUACACUUACCCGGGUUCAUCAGGGACAGAUAAAUCUUUGCAUCUCUGGCAGCUGUCACAGCAGUUUGCACCAAAUACCUGUCACUUUUGCCUGACUGGACAAUCCACUGAACGGGACUGUGCACUGCCAUUGAUGGUAAUUGGCUAGCUGAAGAUGCAGGGUCUUACUUAUCACAAGUCACCCUCUACACCAGGACAUACACAGAAGUACCCAGAUCCACUAGUCUAGCUUGAUAUUUAAUACCUCUGGCUAAGCAAGCACCCAGUGCAAAAAAAAAGGUGCAAUUUACUGUAUUGUUUUACUAGCUGGUUAUAACUUACUCUAUUGAUAUCUCUAUUAUACAACGAGCAAUGCCCAUGAUAUAUUCAUGCACAUCAAAAAUAAAGAAUUUCAAAAAAUGAUUUGCAUUUUUGCUUUUAUACUACUUUUCAAACUCUGUGUGAAAAAUUACAAGAUAAAGGGCACUGAACAAGUUUGCUCUUACAUUUGUCUGCAAAGCUAUGUUAUGAUAUGUUUAUAUGCCAGCUAUGCCUGCCUUGCUUAAAAUACAUGUUAUGCUAAUAUUUUUUCAAUCAAACAGUGCUUAGUAGCGAACAGGUUGAAACAUUUCAGCAAACCUAAAAGCCAUCAUACUUGAGAUUAAUUUAUACUAAAUAAGACAUUGUUGAAAAAAAACCUAUUGACAUAAAUAAUUUUUUGUGAUGCAGAAAUCUGUUUUCACUGCUGGUAUUUACAUUGUUCUGAGAAAAAUGUUGUGAUUUAUUUUUUGCCAUUGAUUAUUAUUACAUAUUAUUAUUAUUAUUAUUAAUGUUUCUGAGUAGAUCCAC